CCAAAACCUCCAGCACCGAGUAUAUUCUUGGAGCUGAAACUAUCCGUUGCAUGUUCCUCUUCUUCAGGUUCAUAUGCUUCCGCAAGCUUACCAUCAUGAUUCGAACACGGUAGAGUUCGAAACAAUUUUGCCGCUGCCAUCUUAGUGAUCUCCUGCAUUGUCGCUUCACUGAACUUUGAAUUCACAGCUGAAAUAUAAUCAACAAGUUCAAGCAAAGUUUGCCUCUCUCCAAUGAUACGAUCCCUGUUCCUUCUACUACCGGCAAGAACUUUUGGUAUUUUCCUUUAACUUGUUCUGUUUCUGCAGGUUCGGCGGUUUUAUGCAUAAUGGCUUUUGGUCGUAGUCAAAACCGUGCUCUCACACCAAGCUUCCUAACAACAUCAUCAAACUGUGGCAACUGAACUUGCAAUGGGACUCAAUCAUUCUAUGGCAUCUGUAGCAUGGUUAACGGGUAGCUUUGGUUUGAUGAUUGUGUAUUUUCCAAUCAGUUUGCAACCCUUACAGUCUGAUCAUCACCAGCCAAUGGAACGAGAAUAGAAGGAAAUUCGGCCAAAAGUUCAGUUUGACAUUUAUCUUGCGACAAACUACAUAGAAAUGCAUAGCACUGAAGACAUUCAACCUGAACUGCAGCAGGAACACCUUCAUUUAUGAAAAACUUAGAUAAUAGGCGGGCGGGUGAUACACUGCACUGUGCAGCUAAGAAAUGGAGGUGUUCACGGAAUACAUGUUUGAACUUUGAGGAAGCAAAAAAUACAAACAGAUCCUUUAUCAUGCUAUCAUCCGGCCGAUUUCCUGACGAUUCUGCUGACAUCAAAGAAAUCGAGUCAUCAACUUUUGCGAUAGUUUCACACAAGUUGAUAGGAUUUUGGUGACCACAUGAUGAACAGAAUCAUUUAUGGGGACCUUUUCUAUCAAGGACAGUAAAGCCUGCUGGCAGUAUUCAUCUUUAGAACUGCAGUCAAUUAGGGAGUCCAAUAAAACAACAAGAAACUUUUCAAUGUUGAACUCCUUGGACAAUUCUAAUAAAACCCCUGGCAAAUCCCUUAGUUCCUUUAAAAUCUCCAAGGCCUUUAUUGGAAGUAUUUGAACAUUUUGGGACCGGACAAGAUUGAUUAAGGCAAUAAGGGACAACCGAAACCAAUGAAGAUCUAUCAACUCAUUAGCCUCCUCCCGAGCAACCUCGGCAACAGAACGUAUCAAAAUAUUCAAAAGUUUAGAAGCCAAUGCAGCUUUAUUCCCAAGUAAGUCAACUGUCAUCAAUGAAAUGGCCUUGUGAUCUGAAAGCCCCUUAACACCUGACUGAAGACCCGAGACCACAAAAGGAAGUAUUCUCUUGACAAUAUCAUCAUCAACGGUCACAACAGUCCCCAAAAUUUCAAUGAAAACGGCAGUACAAAAGCCAGUUACAUUCUUCGAAGUUUGAGACUUUUUAGACAGAGAUGCGUAGUUGCAUGGAACUUCUAAUACACCCUUAUCACGACUGCAUUGCUGCACUAUAACCAUUCUAGGUGGCGGUGCACCCCUUGUGCAGCAGCAUAUGCCCUCAGUCUCAUUUCGCCUGCUGUAGGAGAUUUCAGGAGCCAAAGUGCACUGUUGGACACACGUUUAAGUAUAUUGCACCCUGUAUUAAAUAUUUCAGGAUCCUUCAAAUUAAGAGAAUUUCAUAAAGGGUUGACCAGGAAGCUUUUUGAUUCUAUCAUUCUCUUUGAAACCCUUUUGAGUAUCAGCAACGGCAUCAAUGUCUUACACAAUUUCUUGUACUUCAAAUUCACUCUUAUCAAUUUCUGAAUUUCCUAUGUAUUUUGCUUUGUGAAGACUGUCAAGAGUUCCAACUUGUUUGUUUUUUCGUGGAUUUCAAUCACAAAGUGUGAGAAAAUAAUGAGAAAGGAUAGAAGAAGAGAAGUUUUCAUUGCUUUA